ACUGCUCAGUAACACGUGGACAACCUGCCCUUAGGUUGGGUAUAAACCCGGGAAACUGGGUAUAAUACCCGAUAGGUCUCGAUUGCUGGAAUGCAUCGAGAUUUAAAGCUCCGGCGCCUAAGGAUGGGUCUGCGGCCUAUCAGGUAGUAGUGGGUGUAGCGUACCUACUAGCCUACGACGGGUACGGGUUGUGAGAGCAAGAGCCCGGAGAUGGAUUCUGAGACACGAAUCCAGGCCCUACGGGGUGCAGCAGGCGCGAAAACUUUACAAUGCUGGCAACAGCGAUAAGGGAACCUCGAGUGCCAGGUUACAAAUCUGGCUGUCGAGAUGCCUAAAAAGCAUUUCAUAGCAAGGGCCGGGCAAGACCGGUGCCAGCCGCCGCGGUAACACCGGCGGCUCGAGUGGUAACCGUUAUUAUUGGGUCUAAAGGGCCUGUAGCCGGCCGGAUAAGUCUCUUGAGAAAUCUGGCAGCUUAACUGUCAGGCUUUCAGGAGAUACUGUCUGGCUCGAGGCCGGGAGAGGUGAGAGGUACUUCAGGGGUAGGGGUGAAAUCUUGUAAUCCUUGAAGGACCACCAGUGGCGAAGGCGUCUCACCAGAACGGACCUGACGGCAAGGGACGAAAGCUAGGGGCACGAACCGGAUUAGAUACCCGGGUAGUCCUAGCCGUAAACGAUACUCGCUAGGUGUCGGCCACGGUGCGACCGUUGUCGGUGCCGUAGGGAAGCCGUGAAGCGAGCCACCUGGGAAGUACGGCCGCAAGGCUGAAACUUAAAGGAAUUGGCGGGGGAGCAC
rnacentral:rRNA from 1 species